AAAAUAAAAAAAAAAUUGUAAAAAAAAAUUACAAAAAAAUAGAAAUAUUAAAAGAAAAGAUAGCUAAACCAAAAUAAAACAAAAAAAGUGAAAUAAAAAAUAUAUUAAAUACUUUAAAUUUACAGCAAAUAUGGCGUGACUUACCUUGUCUACUCUACUCGUAUACUAUACUCAGCCAAUUCUUUAUUGUUCUUACGAUACAAGAGAGAAGGAAAAGAGAAAUAAUAAAGUUGUAUUUAGCAAAUUAAACGUUGUUUAUUAAAACAAAAAGAAAUUAAAUUUGUGAUCUAUAACGGUGUACAUAUAGAGAUUGUGAUUACCAAAAAAAAAUAAAAAGUUUACAAAAACAUACCUUGUUUAUCAGUCCUGAUUUCUUGGUGGUUGUUCUAAGUCCAAGGCACAAAUUCACUUCACUAAAGUCACUUUACAAAUAAAUUGAUACAAUAAAAGUACAUCAGGUUACCCAUAGUUCAUUAAAAAAACUACAUAGUUUAUAGAAAGAUUGUGAUUCUACUCGAACAAAAAUAUUAAAAGUGAUUUGUUU
rnacentral:lncRNA from 1 species